rnacentral:rRNA from 1 species
UCAAGCUAGAAAGAGCGCAAGGGGGAUGCCUUGGCACUGGGAGCCGAUGAAGGGCGUAGCGAUCUACGAAAAGCCACGGUUAGCCGAAAGCAGGCGCCUGACCCGUGGAUGCCCGAAUGGGGAAACCCGGCCGGAUAAGCCCGGUCACCAUACACUGAAUUCAUAGGUGUAUGGGGGGAACCGCCUGAACUGAAACAUCUAAGUAGGGCGAGGAAAAGACAUCAACAGAGAUUCCCUGAGUAGUGGCGAGCGAAAGGGGAAGAGGCCAAACCGGAGGUAGCAAUACCUCCGGGGUUCGGACAGCGAUAUGCAGGAUGUAGUUUAGCCGAAGCGUAUGGGAAGACGCACCAUAGGGAGUGAGAGUCUCGUAGGCGAAAAGCGAAAUCCGCUAGCUGAAUCCAGAGUACCGCCGGACACGUGAAACCCGGUGGGAAGAUGGGGGGACCACCCUCCAAGCCUAAAUACUACCCAGUGACCGAUAGCGAAGAGUACCGUGAGGGAAAGGUGAAAAGAACCCCGGGAGGGGAGUGAAAUAGAACCUGAAACCUUGUGCUUACAAGCACCGAGAGCCCGUCAAGGGGUGAUCGGGUACCUAUUGUAGAAUGGUCCGGCGAGUGAAUGUAACUGGCAAGGUUAAGGGCUUCAAGCCCGGAGCCGCAGCGAAAGCAAGUCUGAAUAGGGCGCAUGAAGUCAGUUGUAUUCGACCCGAAACCGUGUGACCUACCCAUGUCCAGGUUGAAGUGGCGGUAAAACGCCAUGGAGGACCGAACCGACUCCCGUUGAAAUGGUAGCGGAUGAGAUGUGGGUAGCGGAGAAAUUCCAAUCGAACUCGGAGAUAGCUGGUUCUCUCCGAAAUAGCUUUAGGGCUAGCCUCGGUUUGAGAUUACUGGAGGUAAAGCACUGAAUGGGCUAGGGGCCGAGAGGUUACUGAACCCUAUCAAACUCAGAAUGCCAGAUAAUCAUAACCGGGAGUCAGACAGUGUGAGAUAAGUCUCAUUGUCGAAAGGGAAAGAGCCCAGACCCACAGCUAAGGUCCCUAAACAUGGUUAAGUGGAAAAGGAUGUGGGGUUGCACAGACAACCAGGAUGUUGGCUUAGAAGCAGCCACUCAUUAAAAGAGUGCGUAAUAGCUCACUGGUCGAGUGACCCUGCGCCGAAAAUUUAACGGGGCUAAACCAUGUACCGAAGCUUGGGAUUCCGUAUGCUGAACAAUGCAUACAGGUAAAGCGGAAGGAAAUAUAGCGACGGCGAAGCCGGCGCGAAAUUCGUUCAGCUAAAGCGUGUGUGUGGUUGUUCAGCAUACGGAAUGGUAGGAGAGCGUCGUAUGAGGGGUGAAGUCAGAGCGGAAGCGCUGGUGGACUUCAUACGAGUGAGAAUGCCGGAAUGAGUAGCGAGAAUUAUGUGAGAAUCAUAAUGGCCGAAAGUCUAAGGUUUUUGAAGGAAGGUUCGUCCGCUUCAAGAUAGCCGGGAGCUAAGGCGAGGCCGAAAGGCGUAGUCGAUGCACAUACGGUUGAUAUUCCGUAGCCGUCCGAAGAUUUAAGCAAGGGGACACUUUGAAAGCGCAUGACCCGGGCGAUGGUAGCCCCGGGCGAAAGGGACUGAAAUUCAAGUAGGGAAGCAUGCGUGGACGAAGGCGAGAAAAGCCUUGUGUAUAUCGAGGAUGCCCGUACCGCAAACCGACACAGGUAGACAGGAAGAGGAUUCUAAGGCCAACGGGAGAAGGGUAGUUAAGGAACUCGGCAAAUUGACCCCGUAACUUCGGGAAAAGGGGUGCUCUGGAAACAGAGCCGCAGUGAAUAGGCCCAGGCAACUGUUUAGCAAAAACACAGGUCUCUGCAAAAUCGAAAGAUGAAGUAUAGGGGCUGACACCUGCCCAGUGCUGGAAGGUUAAGAGGAGGGGUGCAAGCUCCGAAUCGAAGCCCCAGUGAACGGCGGCCGUAACUAUAACGGUCCUAAGGUAGCGAAAUUCCUUGUCGGGUAAGUUCCGACCCGCACGAAUGGUGUAAUGAUCUGGGCACUGUCUCAACUACCCGCCCGGCGAAAUUGUAGUACCGGUGAAGAUGCCGGUUACCCGCGACAAGACGGAAAGACCCCAUGGAGCUUCACUGCAGCUUAAUAUUGGGUUUCGAUAUUUUAUGUACAGGAUAGGCGGGAGACUAGGAAGCAGAGGCGCCAGCCUUUGUGGAGUCAACCUUGGGAUACCGCUCUUAAAGUAUUGGAAUUCUAACCUGCGGCCAUGAAUCUGGCCGGGGGACAUUGUUAGGCGGGCAGUUUGACUGGGGCGGUCGCCUCCAAAAGAGUAACGGAGGCGCUCAAAGGUUCGCUCAGCACGGACGGAAACCGUGCCUUAGAGUGUAAACGCAUAAGCGAGCCUAACUGCGAGACCGACGGGUCGAGCAGUAACGAAAGUUGGAGUUAGUGAUCCGGCGGUAUGAGAGUGGAAUUGCCGUCGCUCAACGGAUAAAAGCUACCCUGGGGAUAACAGGCUGAUCUCCCCCAAGAGUCCACAUCGACGGGGAGGUUUGGCACCUCGAUGUCGGCUCAUCACAUCCUGGGGCUGUAGUAGGUCCCAAGGGUUCGGCUGUUCGCCGAUUAAAGUGGUACGCGAGCUGGGUUCAGAACGUCGUGAGACAGUUCGGUCCCUAUCUGUCGCGGGCGCAGGAUAUUUGAAGGGCUCUGUCCUUAGUACGAGAGGACCGGGAUGGACGUACCUCUGGUGCACCAGUUGUCACGCCAGUGGCACAGCUGGGCAGCUAAGUACGGUGCGGAUAAACGCUGAAAGCAUCUAAGCGUGAAGCCGACCCUAAGAUAAGAUAUCCCACUGAGUAAUCAGGUAAGGUCCCAGGAAGACUACCUGGUAGAUAGGCUGCAUGUGUAAGAGCAGCGAUGUUUUUAGCUUGGCAGUACUAAUAGACCGAGGGCUUGACCU